GACGUCCUGCCGGAAGACGAAGAAAGAAGAAAGCAGCAGCUGCACAGCAAGGAUCUCCAGGCCCAAACUAGGACACCAAAUCAUUCCAUAUCAAUAUAAUGUGUCCAAAUCAUCACGACUGUUGUCACUCGGGUGUUUUUUGGGUCCACACGUAUCCAUGGCUACAUCCAGGACCCGGGAGCCGGCAUUAAAGAAGAUGACCUGCCCCAUCAGCAGUGGAUCCCGCUGAACCGCCUGAGAACCACCGAACUGAGAUUGGACACUUCAAAGCAUCGCUGAGGAAGACCGAGCUGCAUGUGAAUUCUGGGAGCCUGACCAGACUGCAGACCACAUGACCACAAGACCCGGCCCCUCUACAGACCUCCCUCAGAGGCCGGGACCUGAGCGGGGACGUGGCUGAACGCUACUGAGCUGGAUACCUGAAGACGACACACGAUGUUAUAUUACGUGACCUUCACACCGCAUGUAGUCGACAUGAAAAAAGUUCUCCUCCCUUUCUGUGUGGAAGUGGCGAUGAAAGCGCGUUCCCACAUGGUCCUUGUUUAUGAACUUCCUCGGUUUGUCAUUUAAGUCCAGGUGACGAGCAUUGAAAUUCCGGCCACCUCCAAGCCAUGGUCAUUGUUAAUUAAGGCAGCUGUGAUCUGACUUGUUGACCCCCGUAGCUCAAGGGAUUGUGACGGGUUAUGGAAGAGCUCAUGGAAUCUGGCCUGUGGCCCAAGUUCUUUCCAUUUUGGCCGUCUGCAGUGUUUGAUGCAUGGCAAUUUAAAUCCUCUCGUCUAAUUAAAUGUGAUCUGCACUUGUGCUAAAUGACUUUUUUUUUUUUGCACGGUGAGAGAUAUCAGCUGUCUCUCACACAAGGUGACAUUCCGCAUUUCCAUUACGCCGGAUUAUAACAGGUAGCUCGGACUUGGAGAGAGGCGUGUGUAGAAGGUCGCUACCACACUGGAAGUCCCUCUUUUUUUUAUUUCUGGUGAAUAAGUAAUAGUGAUGAGCAGACUGCCAGCCACGGGGAAUCGAAAGGAUUUGGGGCUUAAUUCACAGCUUAGCUAGCCCAUCUCUGGUGUCAGCACAAUGCAAAGUUCACUGCUAAAUCAUUCAUGAAAUAACGCCAUCAG